GGGAUUGUGGCUCAGUGGUAGAGCGCCCCCCUAGCACAGGGGGGACCCGGGUUCCAUCCUCAACAACUCA
rnacentral:tRNA from 1 species